GAGAAGCUGAAAAACAGGUUAUAGAAUUUGUGAAGAAACAUGUUGGUAGCUAUAAACUACACUUGGCCGGAAAUUCAGUUUAUAUGGAUUUUAUUUUUUUGAAGAAAUACAUGCCAGAUUUAGCUGGACUUUUUUCACAUGUGCUUGUUGACGUCAGUAGUGUUAAGGCUCUCUGCUUUCGCUGGUAUCCAAGAGAUCAAAAGAAAGCCCCACCGAAAGAGAAUAAACAUAGGGCUAUGGAUGAUAUCAGAGAAAGCAUAAUGGAACUCAAAUAUUACAAGGAAAAUAUAUUUAAGAAUUCAAAA
rnacentral:misc_RNA from 1 species